GAUGAACGCUGGCGGCGUGCCUAAUACAUGCAAGUCGAGCGAGAAGCUUGGAAAUGACGCUUCGGUUGAUUUUCCAAGCGGACAGCGGCGGACGGGUGAGUAACGCGUAGGCAACCUGCCCCUGACAGAGGGAUAGCCAUUGGAAACGAUGAUUAAAACCUCAUGACACCGUAGUAGCACAUGCUACAUCGGUCAAAGAUUUAUCGGUCAGGGAUGGGCCUGCGUCUGAUUAACUGGUUGGUGAGGUAACGGCUCACCAAGGUGACGAUCAGUAGCCGACCUGAGAGGGUGAUCGGCCACAUUGGAACUGAGACACGGUCCAAACUUCUACGGAAGGCAGCAGUAGGGAAUCUUGCACAAUGGGCGAAAGCCUGAUGCAGCAACGCCGCGUGAAGGAUGAAGGCCUUCGGGUUGUAAACUUCUGUUCUAAGGGAAGAAAGAAAUGACGGUACCUUAGGAGCAAGCCCCGGCUAACUACGUGCCAGCAGCCGCGGUAAUACGUAGGGGGCAAGCGUUAUCCGGAAUUAUUGGGCGUAAAGAGUGCGUAGGUGGUUACCUAAGCGCAAGGUUUAAAUUAGAGGCUCAACCUCUACAUGCCUUGCGAACUGGGCUACUUGAGUGCAGGAGGGGAAAGCGGAAUUCCUAGUGUAGCGGCGAAAUGCGUAGAUAUUAGGAGGAACACCGGCGGCGAAGGCGGCUUUCUGGACUGUAACUGACACUGAGGCACGAAAGCGUGGGUAGCAAACAGG
rnacentral:rRNA from 1 species